UGUUACCUACGGGAGGCAGCAGUGGGGAAUAUUGGACAAUGGGGGAAACCCUGAUCCAGCGACGCCGCGUGAGUGAAGAAGUAUUUCGGUACGUAAAGCUCUAUCAGCAGGAAAGAAAAUGACGGUACCUGACUAAGAAGCCCCGGCUAACUACGUGCCAGCAGCCGCGGUAAUACGUAGGGGGCAAGCGUUAUCCGGAUUUACUGGGUGUAAAGGGAGCGCAGGCGGCUUGGCAAGUCUGAUGUGAAAGGCUGGGGCUCAACCCCAGGACUGCAUUGGAAACUGUUAGGCUA
rnacentral:rRNA from 1 species